rnacentral:rRNA from 1 species
GUGUGGGCCGGGCGCGGGUCGGCGGCAUUAGGGCGGUGGCAGCGUGUGUCCGGAAUUAUUGUGGGUAGAGGGUGCGCGGGGGGUCGGUUAAGUCUGGUGUGAAAGCCCACGGGUCAACGGUGGAGGGUCAUGGGAGACGGGGGGACUUGGGUGCAGAAGGGGAAAGCGGAAUUCCACGUGUAGCGGUGAAAUGCGUAGAGAUGUGGAGGAGCACAAGUGGCGAAGGCGGCUUUCUGGUCUGUAACUGACGCUGACUCGCGAAAGCGUGGGGGGCAAACAGGAUUAGAUACCCUGGUAGUC